rnacentral:rRNA from 1 species
GUCGAGAAUCUUUCACAAUGGGGGCAACCCUGAUGGAGCGACGCCGCGUGGAGGAUAAGGUCUUCGGAUUGUAAACUCCUGUCAUGCGUGAACAAGGUUGCUUGGAUAAUACCUGAGCAAAUUGAUGGUAGCGCAAGAGGAAGAGACGGCUAACUCUGUGCCAGCAGCCGCGGUAAUACAGAGGUCUCAAGCGUUGUUCGGAAUCACUGGGCGUAAAGGGUGCGUAGGUGGCGUGGUAAGUCAGAUGUGAAAGCCCGGGGCUCAACCUCGGAACUGCAUCCGAUACUGCCAUGCUAGAGUACUGGAGAGGUGACUAGAAUUCUCGGUGUAGCAGUGAAAUGCGUAGAUAUCGAGAGGAAUACCAAAGGCGUAGGCAGGUCACUGGACAGUUACUGACACUGAGGCACGAAGGCCAGGGGAGCGAACGGGAUUAGAAACCCCAGUAGUCC